GGAAACACCUGGGACGGGGAGCGCAGACGCCGUCCUUGAGUGGCAGAACUCGAAGGUAGAAAAAAUUGUCGUGAUGCCCUCCUCCUCCUGGCUACAAACUGGUUUUACGGGAACUCGCGGGGUGGUUUGGCACAUUGCUAGAGCUGCUCACCAGUUGACCCGGACGCCAUAUUGACUCUCAUCCAGGGCCAAGGCUUUGGUCAUGGCUGUUACUGCCCCCUGUGGAAGAUGAUUUGGAGGGAAAGUUCAGUCCAGGGAAGAGAAGUUUUCUCCUGUUCUCUCCUCCAGCCAGCGGGUGUCAAGUUGGGGCAUGAGAACAGAGUGGUCAUGCCUCGGAGCUGAGCCUGACCCCCUUUCUCUAGGUCUCUGUCUCCCGCCUCUAGGUCUUUGUAUGUUACUCGAACUCGUGUCCAGAUCAAGACAGGAAAAUGCAAGAUGGCUGCAUAUUUUGCAAAAAUGGGAGGAAGCUCUUUUAUCCAUAAGGGGAAGAUAGUCUCUCUGAACUUUAGGGAGAACUCUGUGGUCAGAACAUGAUGUGGGAAACCUUCAGGAAAUGCACCCAUUUUUACCAGCUUCUCCCCUGCAACUCUCUGGCUCCCCAGAGGUCCCUAAACUAAUUCUUUCUCCCUCUCCUCCCUUCCUCUGUCUCUCAGCUCUUUCACUACACAUGACCUUGAAUAAAUUAAAAUCCUAUCCUUCCCCUCGCUUUCUUUUGACAGCUGAGCUGGCCGGUCAAGACCUGUUCCUGCCACUAAACAUUAAUGAAUGCAAGCAGGCUCCCCUGGGGGUUCCCAGAGUGGGAAUCGAAAUUCCCUCCCUCUCUGGGUCACCCCACCAGCAAUUUUAAACUUUCUCUGCUCCCUUCAAAAACAGCCUUCACCUUUUCUGAGGACCGUGUCUUCAAACAUACCCUGCGUGUCCCAACCUCAGGGCCUUUGCACUUGUGGUUCCCUCUGUCUGGAGUACUUUUGCUCUGAUACACAUGGGACUCUCCUUGAGUGGCCAGCCACUCCAGUCUGCCCAGCACUGAAGGGCUCCUGGGGCCAUGGGAUAUUCCUGGGACAGUCCUGGGUAAACCGAGUUCCUCAACAAUUCCAAAUCUCGUUCAGAUGUCACCUUCUCAAUGAGGCCAACCCUGACAUCCUAUUUAUUAAUUUAAAGAUUUAUUUAUUUAAGAGAGAGAGAGAGCACAGAGGGAGAAGCAGACUCCCCGCUGAGCGGAGAGUCUGAUGUGGGGCUCUAUCCCAGCACCCUGAGAUCCUGACCUGAGCAGACACGUUUAACUGACUGAGCCACCCAGGUGCCCCUGAAUUUAUCUAUUAUGUGCCUGGCCCUGUUGUCAGCUCUUCACAUAGAUUAGCUCAUUUAAUCCUCAGGACAAUCCUAGAAGGGACAGUCCAUAGCUCCUUUUUCCAGGUGAGGAGACUGAACAGGUGACCGAGGCUCUGAGGGUCAUGGGACAACUGUCAGAGCCGGUAUUUCCACCCCACAGUGAGCAGAGACCAAAACCCACAACCACAAAAAGAAUUUCUAACAAUCUAAGUCUUAAGAACUUUAAG